rnacentral:rRNA from 1 species
AGGAUAAACGCUGGCGGCGUGCUUCAGGCAUGCAAGUCGAACGGGUGGCCACCUUCGGGUGGUCUACUAGUGGCGGACGGGUGAGUAACGCGUUAGCAACCUGCCCAGAAGUGGGGAAUAACUAACCGAAAGGUUAGCUAAUACCGCAUGUGAUAGCUGGUUCUUGGACCGGUUAUGAAAGGCUUCGGUCGUCGUUCUGGAGGGCUUGCGUCAGUAUUAGCGUAGGUUGGUACGGGUAAUCGGCCUACGAAGGCGACGAUCGUGUAGGUCCGUGGGUCUAGGACGGAGGU